CGCCGCGGGAGAGCUAGCGUGGCCGCCGAGCUUCGCCGCCGGCUCCCAACGCAAGGUCCUUACGCUAACUCUUUACUCUCAGCUUGCUUGCUUAGGGUCUCCCUCUUUUUCCGCCCCUGUUGUUUAGUUGGAGUUCAUCGAGUGAGUGGGGCGUGGUGGAUGAUGCAGUGGAACCUAGUGUUAGAUACUUGGAUAUGAUAUGGUGGUGAUGCAAUUCUGUCGCGAUUCUUUGCUUAGUCUUGCAAAACUCAAGUCCCUUAUCACAAUUUCGAUUCUGUUUGCUGUGAAUGAUGCACAAAAAUGGGGGGAUUGAAAAGCUUGAAACAAUAACUAGAAAAGUACUCCAAUAAUCAAUUUUUAAAAAACAUUUACAUGGACAAGAUCAAAUCGAUACUAGUAGACCUAUCACCAAAUGUUCUUUCAGAAUGUAAAUGAAACUGACGGUGAAAUUAUCAUGUUCUAGACCGUGUCGGUGACCCAAGGACAAGUAUUUUGAAGCAUUAGCUUGGGGUGUAUCUUGGUCUUUGUCUUUGUCCUCCUCUCCUUCGAUUUGUUUCUCUGCUAGUGCAAGUGCCUGGUCAGGACGCUGCAGCAGGCCUCUGCAUCAAUGGACAUUUGCAUUUAUCGCCACGCCAUGAAAGCCCCAACGCUGCUACUGAUGCCACUGCUUCUGCCUUCUGGUGCAUUCCAUGCCUGCCAUUUGAAAAUUUGAUACUCCCAUUCUCAUCAACACUAUUUUCUCAUGUUUUGUUAGGAGUAACAGUAGAAAGAUCCUGCUGCGUAUUUUUCAUAGAAAUUCAAAACGAGCCUGUACACGAAAAAUGAAGAAAGCUAGACUAGAGGAGUUUCUACAAGAAACCUAAACAAAAAAACUAGAAACAGCAAGAAAGCUAGGAGAAAUUGUUGAUGGGCAACUUAGCAAAGCUCCUCUGGACUCUGGUAUGAACAUGGAAGUAUCUGUAGAACUAUUUUCCCAUGUUACGUGGCGACAUUGAAGUAUCAUGCCAGUGAUGGCCACAUUCAAUUUACCCGAGGGUUCUAUCGACCCAUGUCUUUUGUUCUGAAAUCAGCUUCACAGCUAGCGUUGCCUACAGUAAUAAUCAUGUGCUUGGUCAUCUGAGCGGCAACUUUAACAUGGGAGGCAGAUCAGCACAUGGAUCCGGCCAGCUGGUGACCUGGUGUGGGUGUACUGUGGUCACACUCAUCACACGGGGCCAGUAUAAGUCUUAAUCAUAUUCAUGCUUCAUAGGUGUGAAUAGCUCAGACUAAGCGCGAAAGCAAUUUUGACAUUUUUUCACCAUAGGUGAGAACUCAAAUUUUGGAUUUUCUUUCAAAGAGGAGGGAACAACUCAAAAAUGUUUGAGAACGCAACUGUUGGUGUCAGGGAUGAGUUUUCUGAAAUAAUAAAACGUGAAUUCACGCACGAGAAAUAUUACAACCACCUCAAAUACACCAUUACGUGUGGUCUCUAAUAUGCGCAUGAUCUUAACUUAUACAGUGUGGAGUAAUUAAGACUGUGACUGCAUCUUUCUCCCAGCUUCCUUGCAUUUGCAUAUAUAAGACGACCAUUGCAGGAGGAGUUGCUUUCAUGUUGGGUGGCCACAUACAUGUUGAGUUGCUUUCAUUUGAACGUGGAAGUUUUUGUAGGACUGUUUUCUCAUGUUAGGUGGCCACAUUCAAGUAUCGUGCAGCUGGUUGCCAGUGAUGGCCAUAUUCAAUUACCCGAGGGUUCUAUCUAGCCAUGCCUUGUCUUCUGAAAUCAGCUUUACAGCUACCGUUUCCUACAGUAACUCUUGUCUUCAACUUGCUUCUGUGGUGGUGCAUGUCAGCAUGUGCUUGGUCAGGAGGGGUGGGGCAAGCAAGGACGGCCUCUCCAUGGCAUGAAAACUUCGGUACUACUGUCUAUCUAAUGUCCGAACCUGUAGAGCAACACCAAUAAUUGCCCCAACACCAAUACUAGUCCUGCAGUGCACAGUAGUGUAGUUUGUGCUCACUGCUCAGCCUCAGCCCAUCCUCUUUUCUCCGAUCCUUGGGACACUUCAUCAAUCAUCAGUGAAGAAAGCUUAUAGUCGUUGGCAGCAUGCGUGCAUAUAGCUAUAUAAAUUAACUCUAGCUAGGAUCAAGCUGAUGACUAGACAACAGCUUAUAGUCGUUGGCAGCAUUCAUCUCGUUCCUCCGUCUCGUAUUAAGUGACUCAAAUUUGUUUAAAUAUGGACGUAUCAAUAUACUAAAAUAUGUUUAGAUACAUGUAAUAUUUCGACACUUAAUACGUAUAAGACGGAGGGAGUAUAUUGAAUUUCCGUUAAAGAAGUACUCCGUACUGCUUAACUAACCCACCAUCCUUCCAAGCCUCCCACAUGCCCUAGCUUACCUAUAGAAGUAAUUAGCUAUACACAAACCAUGCGGAAAACAUGGUUAGCGGUUCAAAGAAAAAAAAAUAUAGAGAAGGUUACCUGUAUACACAAGGCUUUGUUUUUUAUCGGUACACAAGACUUCGCUUCGCUAGCUACAUAUAUGGGCCUGCGACUUGCCUGUUUGGACUUGCCUUGGUCGCUAGCUAGUUGUAUCUCUUGAUCCCUUGUUAAGCCAUUGUGUGUGUGUUGUUUGAGAGCUAGUACCAUCGAAACUGGCGUCUAGAGAUGGCGGAGACGGUGUUGAGCAUGGCGAGGUCGAUGCUGAGUGGCGCCGUCAGCAAGGCCGCCUCUGCCGCUGCUGACGAGAUGAGCCUCCUAAUGGGCGUCCGCAAGGACAUCUGGUUCAUCAAAGACGAGCUGGAGACGAUGCAAGCAUUCCUCGUGGCUGCUGAAAGAAUGAAGCAGAAAGACAUGCUACUCAAGGUGUGGGCAAAGCAAGUACGGGACCUCUCCUACAACAUUGAAGACUGUCUUGGUGAAUUCAUGGUGCAUGUGCGAAGCCAGAGCUUGUCGCAGCAGCUGAUGAAGCUCAAAGAUCGUCAUCGGAUCGCAAUGCAGAUCCGCGAUCUCAAAUCAAGAGUCGAAGAAGUAAGCAGCAGGAACACGCGCUACAACUUGAUUGACAAGAGCGAGGGCACUGGCAUGGUUGAAGAGAGGGAUUCUUUCCUGGAAGAUAUUCGCAACCAAUCAGCUAGCAACAUUGAUGAAGCUGAACUUGUAGGUUUUACCAAACCCAAACAAGAUUUGAUUGAGCUUAUCGAUGUCCAUGCCAUUAAUGACCCUGCUAAAGUGGUAUGUGUGGUCGGCAUGGGUGGUUUGGGUAAGACUACAAUCACAAGGAAGGUAUAUGAAAGUGUAAAAAAGGACUUCUCAUGUUGUGCAUGGAUCAUUUUGUCCCAGUCAUUUGUCAGGAUGGAGGUGCUGAAAGUCAUGAUCAAGGAACUUUUUGGUGAUGGGGCAUUGAAGCAGCAGCUUGAAAGGAAGUUGGUGCGAGAAGAGGACCUCGCAAGAUACCUCAGGAAAGAGCUGAAAGAGAAGAGGUACUUUGUUGUUCUUGAUGAUCUGUGGAACCUAGAUCACUGGGAAUGGGUUCGAAAAAUAGCUUUUCCUAGUAAUAAUGUGAAAGGUAGCCGCAUAAUAGUAACAACACGAGAUGCUGGAUUAGCUAAUGAUUGUACUUUUGAACCACGAGAUGCUGGAUUAGCUAAGGAUUGUACUUUCAAACCCCUUAUUUUCCACCUCAAAGCCCUAGCAAUAGAUGAUGCUACAAAGUUGUUACUAAGAAAGACUAGAAAAAGACUUGAAGACAUGAAGAAUGAUGAGACAAUGAGGAAGAUAGUUCCUAAAAUUGUGAAAAAGUGUGGUUGCUUGCCUCUAGCUAUACUCACUAUAGGAGGAUUGCUUGCCACCAAAAUGGUAACCGGGUGGGAAAGUAUAUAUAACCAAAUUCCUUUAGAGCUAGAGAGGCCAAACCUUGCAACAAUGAGGAGGAUGGUUACUCUGAGUUAUAACCACUUGCCAUCUCAUCUCAAGUUAUGCUUUCUGUACUUGAGCAUAUUUCCCGAGGAUUUUGAAAUCCAGAGGAGCCGCCUAGUGGGAAGAUGGAUUGCAGAGGGGUUCGUGGAAGCCAGGGCUGGGAUGAAUAUUGUGGACAUUGGAAAUGGGUACUUUGAUGAGUUAAUCAACCGAAGCAUGAUUCAACCAUCAAGGUUGAACAUAGAAGGAACCGUUAAGAGUUGCCGAGUCCAUGAUAUCGUGCGUGAUGUCAUGGUCUCAAUUUCUAUAGAAGAAAAUUUUGUGGGCUUGAUUGGUGGGGAUAUUAUAACUAGUGUACCAGAGGAGAACUUCCGGCAUAUAGCAUACCAUGGUACCAAGUGCCGCACAAAAGCCAUGGAUUGUAGUCAUGUUCGGUCAUUAACCAUGUUUGGUGAGAGACCCAUGGAACCGUCACCUUCAGUGUGUUCAAGUGAGUUUAGAAUGCUUAGGAUCUUGGAUCUAAACAGUGCACAGUUUACAACCACACAAAAUGAUAUUCAGAACAUAGGGUUGUUGGGUCACUUGAAGUACUUGAAUGUUUAUACUUCUAGAUGGUAUUCAUAUAUUUAUAAACUUCCAAGAUCUAUAGGGAAAUUACAAGGGUUGCAGAUUUUGGACAUAAGAGACACUUAUAUUACAACACUACCGAGAGAGAUUAGUAAACUCAAAAGUCUCCGUGCACUCCGUUGUUGCAACCAAUCAUAUGACUUUUGUGAUCCAGUAGAGCCCAAGGAAUGCUUGUUGGUAUUUCUGCUUCUUCCCUUGUUCUUCACACCUUUACUUGAUGAGAACCGUGCCAAAGUAAUAGCUAAGCUACACAAGGGAUUCUCUUCCCGUUGGUCCAUGUCGAGGGGUGUGAAGGUGCCAAGAGGGAUCGGCAACUUAAAAGAGUUACAGGUGCUAGAGACUGUGGACAUCAAACGAACUAGUAGCAAAGCAAUUGAAGAGCUUGGGCAGCUUACGCUGCUAAGAAAGCUAAAAGUGAAUACAGAAGGUGCCACCGUGAAAAAAUGCAAGAUACUCUGUGUGUCCAGCGAGAAUCUCUCUUCCCUUCGCUCUCUUCAUGUGAACGCUGGUCGGGAUGGAACACUUGAGUGGCUGCAUAGUGUUUCGGCUCCUCCUCUCCUCCUGAGAAGCCUAUGGUUGUAUGGACGUCUUGGUGAAGAGAUGCCCAACUGGGUUGGAAGUCUGAUGCAAUUGGUGAAGAUUACUUUACUCAGGAGCAGACUGAAAGAAGGAGGUAAGAUCAUGGAAAUACUAGGAGCACUGCCCAACCUCGUGCUCCUUUCUCUUCAUUUGAAUGCUUAUUUGGAGGAGAAGCUAGUGUUCAGGACGGGAGCAUUCCCAAAACUCAAGCAACUUGAAAUUUAUGGUCCGGGUGAACUGAAGGGGGUGAGAUUUGAGGAGGGCACCUCGCCCCACAUGGAAAUGAUAGUAAUCGGAUGGCACAGGUUGGAAUCUGGGAUUUUUGGUAUCAAGCACCUUCCAAGGCUCAAGGAGAUUUCACUAGGCUGGGGAGGUUAUGUUGCGAGGCUUGGUGUGCUGCAAGGUGAAGUGGAUGCGCACCCCAACAAGCCCGUGCUGCAACUGAAGUAUGACCGGAGCGAGCAUGACCUGGGCGACAUAGUCCAAGGAUCCGAUGCUGUGCAAGUGGAAGAAGCAAUGGAGGAAGAAUCAUCUCUCCAUCCUGAGCCUGCUGCAGCAGCGGGAGAGAGCUCCUCACAGGCGGUCAUCCACAUGCCGAUGACGAACACCCGCCAAGAUGAUCUGCUACACACAUACAAUUCAUGCUGACGCUGCUCAUUCCCAUGGUUUCUUCUCCAUCGUCUACCUGGCGCUGACUUGUGAGUCUCCAAUAUAUACCUCAAAUCUCCCUCUCUCUGUUUCAUUUUUGUUAGGGUUUCCUUUCGGUUCAGCGCUACCAUCGCACCUACUCGAGCGGAAAGAUAAGACUCGGCAGCUACUGACUGCGAACUGAGCAACUAUGAGAUUUGAGCAGAGGGCCUCUCAAGUUGAAGUGAGCGAACAUCUCAAGCAUCCUCUGUUGUGAAUCGAGCAAGACCGCAGUAUUGGUAGCAAUGUCAAGUAACUGAAUGAUCUGGAGUGAAGCUGGAAGCUGCAGGAUCCAACGGUGGUUUGUGAUUCCUCGACAAUCCAAGCGCAUCUCAAGUGUCAUACUGAUAAUGUACACCCCUGUUUGUACUACGAAGGCUCCUUAAUUCUCUCCGGAGGGACGAUGAAGAUCCAAUGGAGUACACAAGAUGCACCACUAAGCCAUUCCGGCAGAAUUAAUGAUUAGGCGUCCAAAAAUCAUCUCUGUCAGUCCAAUGUUCACGUGAUAUUAGAGCAAGCUACAACAUCAUUUUCAGUGCUACGACGUCUUUCCGGAGAUCAGACAGGGAGUUAUUUGGAAGUCGCACCAUUUCCGGAGCUCCUGCUGGCCCUAGCUGCUUCCCUUGCCUCCUUUGCGGCUUUGCCUAGACGACUAUCCAAUGAUUCUCUUCACCAAUGGAACUGAUCAACUUGAUGUCAGAUCCUAUUUUUCUCCAGCAGCUUCCAGUCCCAGGAAUUCUGCACCGUUCUGUGAAUGAUGACAGCAUCAUCAGCCUAAUUUCUACUAUGUGUAAAUUUCAAUAUACAUGCUUUACUUACUAGUAUUAUCCAUUUGUCGCCGGGCCUAUAUUUGUACUGCUUUGUACACUCAAGCUUGAACAGUGUGAUGCAAGCUAUUGUGCAAGUUUGGCAAACUGAACUUCAUGAAAUACACCCUCCUGCUAUGACUGACCUC